GAUUAACGCGAAGAACCUUACCAGGUCUUGACNUACCGGGAUUAGCUAGCUGAAAGGUUAGUGAUUGCCCUCAAGGUGUAACCGGAACAGGUGCUGCAUGGCUGUCGUCAGCUCGUGCCGUGAGGUGUUAGGUUAAGUCCCGCAACGAGCGCAACCCCUGUUCCAUGUUGCCAGCGCGUAAUGGCGGGGACUCAUGGAAGACUGCCGGUGACAAAUCGGAGGAAGGUGGGGUCGAAGUCAAGUCAUCAUGCCCCUUAUGUCCUGGGCUACACACGUGCUACAUUGGCCGAUACAAAGGGCUGCGAUGCCGCGAGGCGGAGCGAAUCCCAAAAAGUCGGUCUCGGUUCGGAUUGGAGGCUGAAACUCGCCUCCAUGAAGGCGGAGUUGCUAGUAAUCGCGGAUCAGCAAUGCCGCGGUGAAUACGUUCCCGGGCCUUUACACACCGAAUCACUAGU
rnacentral:rRNA from 1 species